rnacentral:rRNA from 1 species
UACGUAGGGGGCGAAGCGUUGUCCGGAUUUAUUGGGCGUAAAGAGCUCGUAGGCGGCUAUUCGCGUCGGGUGUGAAAGCUCAAGGCUCAACCUUGAGAGGCCAUUCGAUACGGGAUAGCUAGAGGUAGGUAGGGGAGAUCGGAAUUCCUGGUGUAGCGGUGAAAUGCGCAGAUAUCAGGAGGAACACCGAUGGCGAAGGCAGAUCUCUGGGCCUUACCUGACGCUGAGGAGCGAAAGCUGGGGGAGCGAACAGGA